rnacentral:tRNA from 1 species
GGGCGGUUAGCUCAGCUGGGAGAGCGCCUGCCUUACAAGCAGGAGGUCACUGGUUCGAGCCCGGUACCGCCCAUCA